AGAGUUUGAUCCUGGCUCAGGAUGAACGCUGGCGGCGUGCCUAAUACAUGCAAGUCGAACGAGGUGCUUUUGUAGCAAUACGAGAGUAUCCUAGUGGCGAACGGGUGAGUAACGCGUUGGUGACCUACCCCAAAGUGUGGGAUAACAGUCCGAAAGGAUUGCUAAUACCGCAUGUGGUCCUCAGGUUUAGAAACUGAUGACUAAAGGAGCAAUUCGCUUUGGGAGGGACCUGCGUCCCAUCAGCUAGUUGGUGAGGUAAUGGCUCACCAAGGCUACGACGGGUAGGGGACCUGAGAGGGUGACCCCCCACAAUGGAACUGAAACACGGUCCAUACACCUACGGGUGGCAGCAGUAGGGAAUAUUGCACAAUGGGCGAAAGCCUGAUGCAGCAACGCCGCGUGCACGAUGAAGGCCUUCGGGUCGUAAAGUGCUUUUCUGGGAGAUGAGAAAGGACAGUAUCCCAGGAAUAAGUCUCGGCUAACUACGUGCCAGCAGCCGCGGUAAAACGUAGGAGGCGAGCGUUAUCCGGAUUCACUGGGCGUAAAGCGCGUGCAGGUGGCCUGGUAAGUUAGGCGUGAAAUCUCCCGGCUCAACUGGGAGAGGUCGUCUAAUACUACCGGGCUAGAGAACAGAAGAGGAAGAUGGAAUUCCCGGUGUAGUGGUGAAAUGCGUAGAUAUCGGGAGGAACACCAGUGGCGAAGGCGAUCUUCUGGUCUGUUUCUGACACUCAGACGCGACAGCUAGGGUAGUAAACGGGAUUAGAUACCCUGGUAG
rnacentral:rRNA from 1 species